CCCUUAGAUGCUCUGGGCCGCACGCGCGCUACACUGACGAAUGCAACGAGCUUAUAACCUUGGCCGAAAGGUCUGGGUAAUCUCCAAAUUUCGUCGUGAUGGGGAUAGAUUAUUGCAAUUAUUAAUCUUCAACGAGGAAUGCCUAGUAAGCGCAAGUCAUCAGCUUGCGUUGAUUACGUCCCUGCCCUUUGUACACACCGCCCGUCGCUCCUACCGAUUGAAUGGUCCGGUGAAGCGUUCGGACCGUGGCCUUUGGACGGUUCGCCGUCUGUUGGCUGCGGGAAGUUCGUUAAACCUUNUNAUUUAGNGGAAGGAGAANUCGUANCA
rnacentral:rRNA from 1 species